UUCAUAAUAAAAGCAAAUCUCAAGUCAUAAGAAAACAUAAAUAAAGAUAUAGAGAGAUAGAGAUUCAUAGACAAAUCAUAUAAUCUUGAUCUUCAAUCAUGUAGUCUUGAUGAGCUCCUUUCCAAGUCUUCCCCUUCUUUCUUUGAUUUUUGGGUGUUGUUCUUGUGUGUGGAAGAGAGGAAAAAUGGUAGAGAAUGGAGGCUAGGGUUUUGAAAUGGAGUGUUGGGGAAGAUGAAGUGGGUGUGUGUGGUGAAUGAUAUGAGAAAAGAGGGGAAAAAUGGAGUUUUGGGCUAAAAAUCACGUCUGGGCCCACCAAAAGGCGGAUCCCCGCCUCUUCCCCGCGGUCACGGCAUGAACCGCGGUUGAAAACGCGGCUGGAAGCAGGGGAGGCCGCGGUCAUGGGCCGCGGCCGCGGCUCGGACCGCGGGUGACUGUAAAAAACAUUCUGGACUGCUCUGGAGCAGAGGCCCGCGGUCGGGCCCGUGGCCGCGGCCCGGACCGCGGGUUACUGGGCAAUUUUGGAGCAGAGGCCCGCGGUCGGGCCCGUGGCCGCGGCCCGGACCGCGGGUGCC
rnacentral:lncRNA from 1 species